UGCAUACACGGGCUGCUGGUGAGAGAUCCAGAUAGCAGCCGCUGUCAGUGCUCUGGCUGGGGGACAAGAAGAGCCAAAUCCUCCCCACCUCCUGCCACCCCACCAUCCCCAGCCUGGUGGUAAGCAACAAGCUGAUAUGGAGAAACACAGGCUGUGAUGAUAGCUAUUGAGGGGAGGAGAACAAGAAGCCAACAAGAAGCCAAGCCCUUCCUGCGAAUCAACACCAUGUGAGGGCCACUGAGGGGAGAACCAGACAUCAGCACUUUCUGUCACAUGGGCUGGGAGAGCAGAGGAACCAAGGUCCCCCCACUACCACCUCACACACGCCUGUAAUUGACCAGCUGAUCUGGAGAAACACAGGCUACAUGGUAGCUAUCAAGAUUCACUGAGAGGAGGAAACAGGAAAAGAGAGGUGAAGUAAAGUCGAAGCGCCUGAGAAGGAGAGAAUCCUGAGAAUGCUGCGGCACACACAGAUUUUGAAGCAAGUCUCUCUGACUUUGGAAAUGAGUGACGCAGUGUGUGGUUGUUUUGUUUAUUUAUUUUCUUUAGUUUUCCCUCUCUGGUCCAGCAAGAGGACAGGAUGUUCAUAAUAGUGACUGUUCCUCAGUUUGUUUGUUUUUUUCCAAAGCAUUAUCUAAGCAGUCCAAAUUUCCUACGUAAGGAAUGGCCUCGCCUUCCAGGCUCUUGGGGUGUGCUGUAUGUAGUACCUGGAGAUCAGGUCACCUAAACUAGCAGUUCCCAAAAGAUUUCUUCCAAGGAAGGCCGAACUAAAUGUCAGUGAUUUCCUUUAAUAUUUACAUGUAUCCACACAUCCUCUGCCAUCAGCAUUUCUACACAUGCUGACCUCUAGCCUUUUCAGCUUUUGCGCUUCUUUCCUUCUUCAUGUUACUCUCAAAUAUAUAUUCACUAGAAAUGAGAUGAGGGGGUACCGUCAUAGUAUGGAGCCAGGCAAGUCUAGUCUGGAACACAUUGGGAAGGUCUCAGAACCUCUCACUGUCUUUUGGUUUCCUCAUAUGUAACUGGAGAUUAAAUGGUGUUUGAUCUGCAGCCCAGUGAAACUGAUAAAUCAAUUUAGUUUCAAGUGCUUUUAAUUAGGAUAAUAAAAAGACAAAGAACCCCCCCCCAACUUAUAUGAGACCAGUAAAAUCCACAGAGAAAUCAAAAGAAAACUAUGGCUCAUAGUUACUUAUGAUUGAUGAAUGAUACCAAAUAAA